rnacentral:rRNA from 1 species
AUGCUCGUUCGCUCAAACCAGCAUCGAGUACUUGGGGCACGUGAUCUCCAAGGACGGAGUCGCCACCGACAUGACCAAGACCAGCGCCAUGCAGGCCUGGCCCAUGCCCACGACGGCCACCGAGCUCCGCGGGUUCCUCGGCCUGACUGGUUACUACCGCAAAUUUGUACCUCACUAUGGCAUCAUCACGAAGCCGCUUACCCAGCUCCUGACGAAGAAAGGAUUCGUCUGGAAUGA